rnacentral:lncRNA from 1 species
CUAUAUCAAACACUCGCGUUUCAAUAUUUAGGCUACUCCAGCUGUGAGAGCGCUGUAGAGAAAACAUGGACAGCUAUGAGGAUUUCUGCGCACGCAUUCUGUAUGAACUGCAGUCGGAAAUGAUGCGCGAGAAGAGCUGCAGUACCGCACCUGAUCGAGGGGUGGCGCACUCGCUCAUCUGCUUUCAUGGCAGGCCGCUUUUGUCUCCUGUUCUAAGUGAGAAACAAAGAAGGGAGAUGGUUGAAUACAGGAAAAGAGCAAAACAAGUGGAGGCCGAGAAACAGGUUCAUUACAACAAAAAACUCCUCAAUCAGAUUCAGACCAUUCUUUGGACUGAUAAGGCACCAAAAAUAUUGGACGUGCCAAAGCUUUCAGAGCAGUGCCUGUCCCCGUCAACAAAAACAGACUACAGGAAUGGUUUUACAGUACUUGAUACUGCAAAUCUUAC